AAUCAACGCUGGCGGCGUGCCUCAGACAUGCAAGUCGAACGCGAAAUUUCCCUUCGGGGAGAAAGUAGAGUGGCGCACGGGUGAGUAACACGUAGGUAAUCUGCCUUUGGGUGGGGAAUAACUCAGGGAAACUUGAGCUAAUACCGCAUAAUGCAGCGGCUCGACAUCGAGACAGUUGUUAAAGCGGGGGAUCGCAAGACCUCGCGCCUGAAGAGGAGCCUGCGGCAGAUUAGGUAGUUGGUGAGGUAAUGGCUCACCAAGCCUGCGAUCUGUAGCCGGCCUGAGAGGGCGGUCGGCCACACUGACACUGACAUACGGGUCAGACUCCUACGGGAGGCAGCAGU
rnacentral:rRNA from 1 species